rnacentral:rRNA from 1 species
AGAGUUUGAUCCUGGCUCAGGAUGAACGCUGGCGGCGUGCCUAAUACAUGCAAGUCGAACGGAGGAGUAGCAAUGCUUCUCAGUGGCGAACGGGUGAGUAACGCGUUGGUGACCUGCCUCAAAGAGAGGGAUAACAGUUCGAAAGGACUGCUAAUACCGCAUGUGAUCGUGGGGAUUAGACGCCUCACGAUAAAAAAGCGAAAGCUGCUUUGAGAGGGACCUGCGUCCCAUCAGCUAGUUGGUAAGGUAACGGCCUACCGAGGCGAUGACGGGUAGGGGACCUGAGAGGGUGACCCCCCACAAUGGAACUGAAACACGGUCCAUACACCUACGGGUGGCAGCAGUAGGGAAUAUUAGUUAAUGUGCGAAAGCGCGAACUAGCAACGCCGCGUGUACGAUGAAGGCCUUCGGGUCGUAAAGUACUUUUCAGAGGGAAGAGGAAGGACGGUACCUCUGGAAUAAGCCUCGGCUAACUACGUGCCAGCAGCCGCGGUAACACGUAGGAGGCGAGCGUUAUCCGGAUUUACUGGGUGUAAAGCGCGUGCAGGCGGUUAGGGAAGUUGGAUGUGAAAGCUCCUGGCUUAACUGGGAGAGGUCGUUCAAUACUCCCUGACUCGAGAGUGGUAGAGGAAGGCGGAAUUCCGGGUGUAGUGGUGAAAUGCGUAGAUAUCCGGAGGAACACCAGUGGCGAAAGCGGCCUUCUGGACCAAUUCUGACGCUCAGACGCGAAAGCUAGGGGAGCAAACGGGAUUAGAUACCCUGGUAGUCC